UAAACAUCCACGCGGUGAUAGGAGGUAAGAAAAAUUUGGCUUUCAAACACCAAAAUGGAGAUUUAUAUUUUUAAAUUCCUUCUUUCGAAGGAUGUAUGCAUGAUUAGGGUUGCAGGAAAUGGAAAAGAUAUUUGAACUUUUAGUAGAAUGCUAUAUCGUGCAUCAUAAAAGGCUAAACUCGAAAGUGUAUAUAGAUAUGUGAUGAUGUAGCAACAAGGUAAGAGAAUCGAGGGUGAGAGGGUUUUCAUGUUAGAAGGCUAACAUUUUGGAGAAAAUCAAUUAGGGUCUUAAAAACUAAAAAAUAAGAUGAAU
rnacentral:lncRNA from 1 species